UGCGAGGAAAAAAACGUUCCAGUCAACUUCCAUAUCAUUUUUUUCAUUAUCUUUUUCCAUUUUUGAUUGUGUCUGUAUAACAAAGAAACGACACUUUACAUAGUGUGACUACCGUUCCUUUUAUGUGCUGGAUGAUGGUGCCGUGGUUCACCAUCUGAAUACAGACAGCCGACCCGCACUUCUUGUUGUUUUAGGACACGGGGAAGUCCCUGAGAGCCCCUUAUCUGACAGACGGUGUUUUCAGAGGAGUUUUCACCAACUAUGUGCAAGUGGUCGGCAGUACCAGUAAAACAGCCAUGUGUAUGAGUGGGUGUCGAGCUAUGUGCAUGACCCACGGAGGUGACAUGACGUGACAAGGGACCUUUACGCAGUGUCACAGCACAGCACAGCACAGCACCGCACCGCACAGCAAGGCUUCUCACUACGCUCUCUCCCCCGGCUGCGUGCAAGCCAUAUAUCUCACCUGUCAUCGCCUUUUAAAAUAAGUGUACUUGUUAGAUCUCAAGGUAUAUAUGGCCACUAUAAUAUCUCUACUGUGAUUCAGUGGCUGUAUAGUUGAUAUAUGUGUUUUUUAUGCUAUCCAUUGCAGUGAACCCUAACGUGAAUAACUGAAACUGAAAAAAUAUGUCUCCUUGACAUUUGGCAAGAGGUUGUCAAACUACUUACCAAACUUCCACUAUAUGUUUUAUUUAUUACAUGUUAUAAUGCAACAUCUCUUGGAUAUGAUGGACUUUUGUCAAGUUUGUUUUACUCAUGGACAUAAUCAUUCAAUGCUUUGGUUUUCCGUCUGGUGAGUGAAUGUCACUGGCGUCUACAGUCCUCUUCUUGACACACUGAUCAGAAAUAUGGCUUCAGUCAUUACGUGAAAAAUGUUUUCACUAUCUUUUUAUCUCUGAUAGGUAAGUGUGUUAAUUUAUUGUUCUGCAUGUCCAACGUGAUCUGUUGA